GUCGCCUACUCCAGUUUCCCGGACCUUAGAGGGUGCCUUAGAGCUCGUGGUCAUAGAGGGGUAGGAGGGGACGGGGAGAGAGUGACGGCCGACCCCGGCCGGUCGGCCUAUCGGGUCAGAGCAGACGGUGAGACGGAGGAGAUGCGGGCCUUGUCGCCCACCCGGGACCAUAAGCUUGGCCUAUUCCUGUGCACCCGGGGCGCGGUGCGCAGCCACCGGGUGCCCGGCGGAGGGGAGGGCGCGGCGUCUCCUAGGCAGGCCGGCCGGAGGAAAAGGCGGUAAGGACCCAAGCCUGGCCGAGCCGAGGAGCAGCGGCCGGCCGCACGCACGCAGCAGCGCCUCCUGUCUGUGUGGUCGUCCCCGUUUCAUGCCCUGACGGGGAGCGCUCGUUGAUAUUUAUCGGCCGGCCGCGGCGGGAGAUCUUCUAAGAGCGGCCGGCGUUGGCGUUGGCGGUUCUCUCGGCGGGGAGCCUAAGGGGGGCGGGCGGUGGGGUGGAGUUAGGUUGGGUGACGGCAUGCAUCGGCAGGGGUUGAGUGGUAGGUGGGGGGUGGCCCUCAGCGGUCGAGGGUGUGGGUAUUUCCCGCGGCGCUACCGGCGGCGCAUCCGGGGGCGCGCGCCCGCCCGCCCGCCUACCGGCUGCCGUCGCUGCCCCUCCCGCGCCCGCUCUCGACGACCGGCGGGGGGCGGCGGCGGCGGAGUCGGGUGCCGCCGCCGCCGCCGCCCCACGUCGACAGGCUGCAGGCCGCCCUCUAGAUGCUGGCGGACGCGCGGCAGCCGUUGGUGCUCCGCGAGAGGCUGGGGAAGAAGCUGGCGCACGAGCUCCUGGUGAUGCUGGCGGAGGGCCGGUCGAUGAUGUAGCUGGACCUGCACUUGUUCCGGCUCCUGCACGACGACGUGGCGGCCUAGGAGCGGCUCACGCGGCUGGGGCUGUUGGCGGGGCAGAAGGUGCGUGCGAAGGAUGCCAUGGAAGUACUGCUGUUUGGCAGCCUACGGCUGAGACGAGGCUUAGUUUUGCCAUUAACACCCCCGAGAGACCGAAGGUUAGACUCGUUGUCGUUGUCGUUGCCGCCCAAUUUUCCUAAACUGCUCGCCGAGUACCUUCUGGAGUCGAACCCCGCUUCUUUUCCGUAGCUGCUGAAGCUCCGGUAGAGGCGUUCCUCCCUAUGUCUUUAAGGGGAAGAAGUACUUUAAUAGAAAAGAAGGUUACUGUUCGGUUUCGAGGAAUCAGUCGAUAGAUGCGACGACAGCCUAGAACCUAACUUGUAAGCACUUCGAGUACACAAGAGGUGUUGCCUACCUAACACAAACCUACACAAACAACAACUACCGACCCUUUGUCUCCUCUGUCUACCAAACGACGUCGUCGAAUUCCUCUGUCGUUUUGCAUUAGGGAGUAAUAGCUUAGAUUGUUCAAGUCGGAGCCUCUCUUAUAGUCUCGACGUUCUUUUCUAACCUCUUAGACUUAAACUGUCCCUAGACAACGUCUAACAUCUUUUCUAACGCAGGCCUAGAAGACCUCUGAAUAUAGCUCCUUGAAUGGAACUACACCUACAACGUUAUUUUAAGGAAUCUUGACUUGUACAAUUGCUAUUAAGUUUUCACCUCAAAAACGUUCUUUAUUACUAAAAUUCCUCGCAAUUAGUACUUUUACAGCAAGCGAAAAUGCCCCGAACGUGUUUUGUCGCUUUCAUAGAGUAACAUUGCCUCAUGUACCGACCUCCGUUAGACAUACUGAAGGAAGUGUUCGUAUUGUUAUGGAACCUCGAAAGGAACUAAGAAUUCUAACGAUAACCGUAGAGCUUUCCCUACCUAAUAAACGUGGUCUUAUUGUAGUAGGUAUCUCUGAACUUCAGACGGUUAAAUAAUUAACCACUACCAGUUCAGCACUUCUAACGUCUAAAACCACAGAGAGCAGUUGCUAGCGUUGUCCCUCUAUACUGACGACUUUGACCGUGGAUGUCUACCUACCGUGGACUCCACUAUUUGGUAUUCGGAAUACUAGUGUUCCGUCUACAGAAGUCGAAACGAUAACAAGAUACCCUCAACCAGUGAAGUUUCCAGGGCAUACUCUUGGACUGUGGUAACGUUCGCCGUGACAGUCACUCCGUCCCUGAAGCGAACCACUAAGGGAGCCCGCACGUAGGCUCUUAUAGAUUUAACUAAGUUGCCACGACCCCGCUUUUGGGGGUAUGUGCUGGACAAAAGAGACUCUAGUGGCGCCUUGAACUUCUAUAGAACGUCGGAUAAGUCCGGCGGAGGUCGAGGUUUCCUCCGGUAGCUGUAUGGUUUGUUUUCUAUGUCUACUUUAGUGUCGCUAUCUUUCUUCCGCGGACGAGUACUUCGGCCUGGGUGAAAAAGUGUAACAGCGGGUGAUUUUUCGCGCUGUACGUGUGUGGCAGAGGACAUAUAUACAGUACAUGUAUUUAAAACACGAGCCAACAAAACUAAGGGGGGAUUUCAUGAGUGUCCUGCUUGACCCAAUUCAAUCGUGUGGGCACGAUGUAUUGGACUCACUAUAUCAAAAUACAAACUACACCAAUAAACAAAACGCUCACCGAAUAUCAAGCCACACAAACUUAAAACCAAGUACAUGCUAAUACUCAAGCAGAACAUUCCUUGUACUCUACUUUUACGGUGAUAGUGUACAAGGUAAAACCAAUAAUAAAUUAUAUAAAAGAACAGACCUUGUGCUAUUUAAUUGUUCGAAAACGUCGAAGCAAACCUUAGUAUAAAAACGUCCUUUGUUAUUAUUAAGCCACCGGUGUCCUUAGCUCCCUUUUUUACUAGGACAUACACCAACCCGAACCGGGUCAUUAAUAGUGGUGCACUGGUAGAGCCGAGAGCCCUUUGUUAUUGUUGAGAGUCGCCGCCGUCUUUAACUUUCUUUUUUUUUUGGCAUACCCUAACCCGAUCCGAGUAAACAUACUUGUAUGAAGUAGAGCCCACUAUUUGGUAUUCGGAACGCUAGUAUUCCAUUGAAAUACUUCCAGGACGCGCUUUUAGAUUGUGGUAACAUUCAACGUGACAGUCCUUCUGUGUCCCUGAAACGAAUCAGUAGGGGAGCUCGCACGUAGGCUGUAACAGAUUUAACUAAGUUGCCGCAACCCCGCUUUUGGAUGUAUACGCGGGCAAAAGAGGUUCUAGUGGCGUAUUGACCUUCUAUAUAACGCCGGAUAAGUCCGGGGAGGUCGAGGUUUCCUCAGGUACCUGUAAGGUUUGGUUUCUAUUAAUUUAGUGCAGCCGUGUUGUGGGAGAUAACUAGAAGGUAAAACUCGGUUAUUUUAAGUGGGAAACAGCUUUUUCUUGUGGGAGAUAAAAGUGUAACAGCGCAACUUAUUAGCACACACACACACACACACACACACACACACAAACAGCUGACAGGGGACAUACAAACAGUACAUAUAACUUAAAACACGAGCCAGAGGAUUUUAUGUACGGCCCUCUUGACCCAAUCCAACAGCGUGCGAGCACGUUGUAUUGGAUCCACUAUAUCAAAAUACACAACGUGCCAAAAAACAAAACGUUCACCGACCAUCAAUACAUGGGAAACGUAACUCCAAGUACAUGUUACUAGUCAACCAGAACAUUCUUUCUUGUCUACUUUUACGGUAGUGUCAAAGGUAAAGC
rnacentral:rRNA from 1 species